AACGAACGCUGGCGGCAGGCCUAACACAUGCAAGUCGAACGCACCGCAAGGUGAGUGGCGCACGGGUGAGUAACACGUGGGAAUGUAUCCUUUGGUUCGGAAUAACGUCUGGAAACGGACGCUAAUACCGGAUGAGCCCUUAGGGGGAAAGAUUUAUCGCCCAGGGAUGAGCCCGCGUAGGAUUAGCUUGUUGGUGAGGUAAAAGCUCACCAAGGCGACGAUCCUUAGCUGGUCUGAGAGGAUGAUCAGCCACACUGGGACUGAGACACGGCCCAGACUCCUACGGGAGGCAGCAGUGGGGAAUAUUGGACAAUGGGCGAAAGCCUGAUCCAGCAAUGCCGCGUGAGUGAUGAAGGCCUUAGGGUUGUAAAGCUCUUUUACCCGGGAUGAUAAUGACAGUACCGGGAGAAUAAGCUCCGGCUAACUCCGUGCCAGCCGCCGCUGUAACAC
rnacentral:rRNA from 1 species